AGAGUUUGAUCAUGGCUCAGGAUGAACGCUGGCGGCAGGCUUAACACAUGCAAGUCGAACGGUAACAGGAAGGAAGCUUGCUUUCUUUGCUGACGAGUGGCGGACGGGUGAGUAAUGCUUGGGAAUCUGGCUUAUGGAGGGGGAUAACUACGGGAAACUGUAGCUAAUACCGCGUAAUAUCUUCGGAUUAAAGGGUGGGACCGUAAGGCCACCUGCCAUAAGAUGAGCCCAAGUGGGAUUAGGUAGUUGGUGGGGUAAAGGCCUACCAAGCCGACGAUCUCUAGCUGGUCUGAGAGGAUGACCAGCCACACUGGAACUGAGACACGGUCCAGACUCCUACGGGAGGCAGCAGUGGGGAAUAUUGCACAAUGGGGGGAACCCUGAUGCAGCCAUGCCGCGUGAAUGAAGAAGGCCUUCGGGUUGUAAAGUUCUUUCGGUGAUGAGGAAGGCGGUUGUUUUAAUAGAACAAUCGAUUGACGUUAGUCACAGAAGAAGCACCGGCUAACUCCGUGCCAGCAGCCGCGAUAAUACGGAGGGUGCGAGCGUUAAUCGGAAUGACUGGGCGUAAAGGGCACGCAGGCGGUGACUUAAGUGAGAUGUGAAAGCCCCGGGCUUAACCUGGGAAUUGCAUUUCAUACUGGGUCGCUAGAGUAUUUUAGGGAGGGGUAGAAUUCCACGUGUAGCGGUGAAAUGCGUAGAGAUGUGGAGGAAUACCGAAGGCGAAGGCAGCCCCUUGGGAAUAUACUGACGCUCAUGUGCGAAAGCGUGGGGAGCAAACAGGAUUAGAUACCCUGGUAGUCCACGCUGUAAACGCUGUCGAUUUGGGGAUUGGGCUUUAAGCUUGGUGCCCGUAGCUAACGUGAUAAA
rnacentral:rRNA from 1 species